rnacentral:rRNA from 1 species
GGGCCCGCACAAGCGGUGGAGCAUGUGGUUUAAUUCGAUGAUACGCGAGGAACCUUACCAGGGCUUAAAUGUAAGUUGCAUUAGCUAGAGAUAGCUAUUUCUUCGGACUACUUACAAGGUGCUGCAUGGUUGUCGUCAGCUCGUGCCGUGAGGUGUCAGGUUAAGUCCUAUAACGAGCGCAACCCUUAUCCUUAGUUGCCAUCACGUUUGGGUGGGCACUCUAGGGAAACUGCCGGUGCUAAGCCGGAGGAAGGCGGGGAUGACGUCAAGUCCUCAUGGCCCUUACGGGUAGGGCUACACACGUGCUACAAUGGCAGUGACAAUGGGAUAAUCCCCAAAAGCUGUCUCAGUUCGGAUUGUCGGCUGCAACUCGCCGGCAUGAAGUUGGAAUCGCUAGUAAUCG